rnacentral:rRNA from 1 species
UACGUAGGGUCCGAGCGUUGUCCGGAAUUACUGGGCGUAAAGAGCUCGUAGGUGGUUUGUCGCGUUGUUCGUGAAAACUCACAGCUUAACUGUGGGCGUGCGGGCGAUACGGGCAGACUGGAGUACUGCAGGGGAGACUGGAAUUCCUGGUGUAGCGGUGGAAUGCGCAGAUAUCAGGAGGAACACCGGUGGCGAAGGCGGCUAUCUGGGCUGCAACUGACGCUGAGGCGCGAAGGCUAGGGUAGCAAACAGG